UUCGGGGUCAGCGGCGGACGGGUGAGUAACGCGUGGGAACGUGCCUUCUGGUUCGGAAUAACUCAGGGAAACUUGAGCUAAUACCGGAUACGCCCUUUUUGGGGAAAGGUUUACUGCCGGAAGAUCGGCCCGCGUCUGAUUAGCUAGUUGGUGGGGUAACGGCCUACCAAGGCGACGAUCAGUAGCUGGUCUGAGAGGAUGAUCAGCCACACUGGGACUGAGACACGGCCCAAACUCCUACGGGAGGCAGCAGUGGGGAAUAUUGGACAAUGGGCGCAAGCCUGAUCCAGCCAUGCCGCGUGAGUGAUGAAGGCCUUAGGGUUGUAAAGCUCUUUUAUCCGGGACGAUAAUGACGGUACCGGAGGAAUAAGCCCCGGCUAACUUCGUGCCAGCAGCCGCGGUAAUACAAAGGGGGCUAGCGUUGCUCGGAAUCA
rnacentral:rRNA from 1 species